rnacentral:rRNA from 1 species
UACGUAGGGUGCAAGCGUUGUCCGGAAUCAUUGGGCGUAAAGCGCGCGUAGGUGGUCAUGUAAGUCCGCUGUGAAAUCUCGAGGCUCAACUUCGAGCUGUCGGUGGAAACUAUCUGGCUAGAGUCCGGAAGAGGAGAAUGGAAUUCCUGGUGUAGCGGUGAAAUGCGCAGAUAUCAGGAAGAACACCCGUGGCGAAGGCGGUUCUCUGGGACGGUACUGACGCUGAGACGCGAAAGCGUGGGGGAGCAAACAGG